UACGUAGGUGGCAAGCGUUGUCCGGAUUUACUGGGCGUAAAGAGCGCGCAGGCGGUCGUCCAAGUCGCGUGUGAAAGCCCCCGGCUCAACUGGGGAGGGUCACGCGAUACUGCUCGACUUGAAGGCAGGAGAGGGAAGUGGAAUUCCCGGUGUAGUGGUGAAAUGCGUAGAUAUCGGGAGGAACACCAGUGGCGAAGGCGACUUCCUGGCCUGUUCUUGACGCUGAGGCGCGAAAGCUAGGGUAGCAAACGGG
rnacentral:rRNA from 1 species